rnacentral:rRNA from 1 species
UACAUUCCUUCCUUCAAAAUAAUACCUUACUUAAAACAAAAAUAUCCUGCGUAAUUAACUACCAAUAAUUGGCAGUUAUGCAAUUCUUUCAUUCUUCUUUAUAGUUAUCAAACAACUUGUUGUGGACACUCAUACUUUUCUUAAGGAGGUGAUCCAACCCCAGCUUCCGCUAGGGUUACCUUGUUACGACUUUACCCCAGUCAUGAAUCACAAAGUGGUGAGCGCCCAGAUAAGCUACCCACUUCUUUUGCAACCCACUCCCAUGGUAUGACGGGCGGUGUGUACAAGACCCGGGAACGUAUUCACCGUGGCGUUCUGAUCCACGAUUACUAGCGAUUCCGACUUCACGGAGUCGAGUUGCAGACUCCGAUCCGGACUACGAAAAGGUUUAUGAGAUUAGCUUGCUCUCGCGAGGUUGCGACCCUUUGUCCUUCCCAUUGUAGCACGUGUGUAGCCCUGGUCGUAAGGGCCAUGAUGACUUGACGUCGUCCCCGCCUUCCUCCGGUUUAUCACCGGCAGUCUCUUUAUAGUUCCCACCAUGAUGUGCUGGCAAAUAAAGAUAAGGGUUGCGCUCGUUACGGGACUUAACCCAACAUCUCACGACACGAGCUGACGACAGCCAUGCAGCACCUGUAUCACGGUUCCCGAAGGCACCAAUCCAUCUCUGGAAAGUUCCGUGUAUGUCAAGACCAGGUAAGGUUCUUCGCGUUGCAUCGAAUUAAACCACAUGCUCCACCGCUUGUGCGGGUCCCCGUCAAUUCCUUUGAGUUUUAACCUUGCGGCCGUACUCCCCAGGCGGACAACUUAACGCGUUAGCUUCGCCACUAAG